rnacentral:rRNA from 1 species
GAUGAACGCUGGCGGCGUGCCUAAUACAUGCAAGUCGAGCGAACAGAUGAGGAGCUUGCUCCUCUGACGUUAGCGGCGGACGGGUGAGUAACACGUGGAUAACCUACCUAUAAGACUGGGAUAACUUCGGGAAACCGGAGCUAAUACCGGAUAAUAUAUUGAACCGCAUGGUUCAAUAGUGAAAGACGGUUUUGCUGUCACUUAUAGAUGGAUCCGCGCCGCAUUAGCUAGUUGGUAAGGUAACGGCUUACCAAGGCAACGAUGCGUAGCCGACCUGAGAGGGUGAUCGGCCACACUGGAACCGAGACACGGUCCAGACUCCUACGGGAGGCAGCAGUAGGGAAUCUUCCGCAAUGGGCGAAAGCUUGACGGAGCAACGCCGCGUGAGUGAUGAAGGUCUUCGGAUCGUAAAACUCUGUUAUUAGGGAAGAACAAAUGUGUAAGUAACUAUGCACGUCUUGACGGUACCUAAUCAGAAAGCCACGGCUAACUACGUG